GACGAACGCUGGCGGCGCGCUUAACACAUGCAAGUCGAACGGAAAGGCCUGCUUUCCCUUGUGGAUUGCGGGUACUCGAGUGGCGAACGGGUGAGUAACACGUGAGUGAUCUGCCCCCAACUUGGGUAUAAGCCUGGGAAACUGGGUCUAAUUCCCGAUAGGACUGCAGGGUGGUGCCUGUGGUGGAAAACGAUUUUCUAGUGGUUGGGGAUGAGCUCGCGGCCUAUCAGCUUGUUGGUGGGGUAAUGGCCUACCAAGGCGGCGACGGGUAGCCGGCCUGAGAGGGUGGACGGCCACAUUGGGACUGAGAUACGGCCCAGACUCCUACGGGAGGCAGCAGUGGGGAAGAUUACACAAUGGGCGGAAGCCUGAUGCAGCGACGCCGCGUGGGGGAUGACGGUCUUCGGGUUGUAAACUCCUUUCGACCGCGAGGAAGCCACCUGGUUGGAAGGGUGGUGACGGUAGUGGUAGAAGAAGCACCGGCUAACUACGUG
rnacentral:rRNA from 1 species